AAGUGGCUGAGAUUUUAAGCGUUAGAUUGUAAAUCUAGUUACGGGUUGCCCUUUAAUACUUA
rnacentral:tRNA from 1 species